UACAGAGGGUGCGAGCGUUGUUCGGAAUUAUUGGGCGUAAAGCGCUUGUAGGCGGCACGUCAAGUCGCGUGUGAAAUCCCCAGGCUUAACCUGGGAAGUGCGCGCGAAACUGACGAGCUUGAGUGCCGGAGAGGGUCGCGGAAUUCCCGGUGUAGAGGUGAAAUUCGUAGAUAUGCGGAGGAACACCGGUGGCGAAGGCGGCCAUCUGGACGACUACUGACGCUGAGACGCGAAAGCGUGGGGAGCAAACAGG
rnacentral:rRNA from 1 species